AUUGAACGCUGGCGGCAUGCCUUACACAUGCAAGUCGAACGGCAGCACGGGAGCAAUCCUGGUGGCGAGUGGCGAACGGGUGAGUAAUAUAUCGGAACGUGCCCAGUAGUGGGGGAUAACUGCUCGAAAGAGCAGCUAAUACCGCAUACGACCCGAGGGUGAAAGGGGGGGAUCGCAAGACCUCUCGCUAUUGGAGCGGCCGAUAUCAGAUUGGCUAGUUGGUGGGGUAAAGGCCUACCAAGGCAACGAUCUGUAGUUGGUCUGAGAGGACGACCAGCCACACUGGGACUGAGACACGGCCCAGAAUCCUACGGGAGGCAGCAGUGGGGAAUUUCGGACAAUGGGCGCAAGCCUGAUCCAGCAAUGCCGCGUGCAGGAAGAAGGCCUUCGGGUUGUAAACUGCUUUUGUCAGGGAAGAAAUCCUCUAGGUUAAUACCCUUGGGGGGAUGACGGUACCUGAAGAAUAAGCACCGGCUAACUACGUGCCAGCCGCCGCCGUAACAC
rnacentral:rRNA from 1 species